UACGUAGGUGGCAAGCGUUGUCCGGAUUUACUGGGCGUAAAGAGCGCGCAGGCGGUCGUUCAAGUCGCGUGUGAAAGCCCCCGGCUCAACUGGGGAGGGUCACGCGAUACUGAUCGACUCGAAGGCAGGAGAGGGAAGUGGAAUUCCCGGUGUAGUGGUGAAAUGCGUAGAUAUCGGGAGGAACACCAGUGGCGAAGGCGACUUCCUGGCCUGUUCUUGACGCUGAGGCGCGAAAGCAAGGGGAUCAAACAGG
rnacentral:rRNA from 1 species